GACGAACGCUGGCGGCGUGCUUAACACAUGCAAGUCGAACGGAAAGGCCCUGCUUUUGUGGGGUGCUCGAGUGGCGAACGGGUGAGUAACACGUGAGUAACCUGCCCUUGACUUUGGGAUAACUUCAGGAAACUGGGGCUAAUACCGGAUAGGAGCUCCUGCUGCAUUGUGGGGGUUGGAAAGUUUCGGCGGUUGGGGAUGGACUCGCGGCUUAUCAGCUUGUUGGUGGGGUAGUGGCUUACCAAGGCUUUGACGGGUAGCCGGCCUGAGAGGGUGAACGGCCACAUUGGGACUGAGAUACGGCCCAGACUCCUACGGGAGGCAGCAGUGGGGAAUAUUGCACAAUGGGCGGAAGCCUGAUGCAGCAACGCCGCGUGCGGGAUGACGGCCUUCGGGUUGUAAACCGCUUUCGCCUGUGACGAAGCGUGAGUGACGGUAAUGGGUAAAGAAGCACCGGCUAACUACGUG
rnacentral:rRNA from 1 species